CCAAUAUACAAGGAAGGAUUUUUGACAGCCACCGUUGUGACAUUCAUCUACGGGAAAGUACGCAUAGUCCAAGCAACCUUCAAUCCAUCGGAAACGUACCCAACACUCAGCUUGACGCUGAGGGCUAUAUGCAGCCUAGGAAAGGACAACUACGACAAGAAGGUAGCCUUCAAUGUUCUGAAAUGGAUUUUCUCUCCUCCGGAGCCGGCCAAGGAGCUCGCAAUGAGAGGAAAGAGCCGAUCUAGUUACGGGCAGGCGCGAAAUGUGUGAGGUCAUAUUUUCCUGGGCUUUGCUGGUACAAGGCUGGGGUGUAUACCCAGAGAUGGUUCGCGUAUUUGGCAGUUCUUUUGGAUAUCCAGGGUCUGAGUGUUACUACUACGGAUUUGUAUUUCGACGGAGCGUAUGUAUUACAGC
rnacentral:sRNA from 1 species